ACGAGCGCAACCCUCGCCUCAGUUGCCAGCAUCGGUUGGGCACUCUAGAGGGACUGCCGGCGACAAGUCGGAGGAAGGUGGGGAUGACGUCAAAUCAUCAUGCCCCUUAUGACCUGGGCUACACACGUGCUACAAUGGGCGGUACAAAGGGCUGCGAACCCGCGAGGGGGAGCGAAUCCCAAAAAGCCGCUCUCAGUUCGGAUUGCAGGCUGCAACUCGCCUGCAUGAAGCCGGAAUCGCUAGUAAUCGCGGAUCAGCAUGCCGCGGUGAAUACGUUCCCGGGCCUU
rnacentral:rRNA from 1 species